AGUGUGUUCUUUCUGCUCCUUCCUGCUGAGAGAGAGUCAUCAUGGCGGGGCAUGAUGCAGCACUGGCGUGGAAUAGGGUGAUUUGUUCCUGGUAGCUCUCUGUUUCAGGGGCUGAGAGGCAGCAUCUGCUGAAACAGCUAGUCUUCAUCUUAUGGGACUUUAAGAAAGCACAGCUUAGGUUUCAGUGAUUUCCAGUUAGAAAAGUGGGGAAAAAGAAAAAAUUGAAAACAUUAUUUUGGAGACUUGUAGCCAGAAAAAUUAAAAUUUAAUCUAAACUGUAGAAAAUAAUAAAAAUUGAAAAACAUCAGCAGGACUAGAAUUUAACAAUAGGUGUGCUAUAGUUUUUGAAACAUAAUUUUCUCUCUCCAGUUUUCCAUUUUUAUUAAAAGACAACUCACGGUUCGGGUGGUGAGGAGCAGAUGCAGGGGGUUCAUCUGCAGGGUCAAAGGGGUUUCGGAGGAAGGGAAGACCUGGGGGGUUUUCAUUAAGAAGAAAGCUUUCAUGAGGGGUGCAAGCUUGACGUGGGGAGGGCAGAAGAAACCUGAACGUAGGGAACCUCUUGCCAUUUGCUGUUCCUGGCUAUAAAGUUGUCAAGGUCCCUGAGAAUUUGAGUCAAAGUUUCUGUUUUUGGGCCAUUGGCUGUGAUUAUCUAGUUUGCAUUGGGGCCGGGCUGUGUUACAGUAAAAACCUAAACGCUGUGGCAUUAGGCUCCCCUGUAAGCCAAGCUUGGCGAGGCUGCGGACACGGCCGAGCAGGGAGGACGUGGGGAUGUGGGGUCGUCUGGCUCCCACAUGGGCUGGUAAGAGCGGGCCGAGGGUGUCUGCUUUUGUUCUAGGUAGGAACAUGGGACUGCCUGGCACCCAUGUGGGGUGGCAAGGGGAGGCUGAGGGCAUCUGUUUUGUUCUAGGUGUCUCCAGAAAAAAGACAGAGACCUGGAAUCCUCUUUAUAAAGAGGACAGUUAAGCUGAGAAGAGAUUGGGCUUCCCAAAGUUUCUUCCAACUUAGUACCCUGGUCCUCUAGGGCCAGGAUGGCAGACCUGACUCCGGGCACCGCGAGACAACCAGGGGCGGACAGGUCUUAGCAGUCAGC